GAUGAACGCUGGCGGCGUGCUUAAUACAUGCAAGUCGAACGAGGGUGCCUUGUAGCAAUACGAGGUGUCCCUAGUGGCGAAUGGGUGCGUAACACGUAGGUGACCUGCCCCGAAGUGUGGAAUAACAAUUCGAAAGGACUGCUGAUACCGCAUGUGGUCCCGGAGGUUAGAGGCUCUGGGUCUAAAGCUGCUCGCAAGAGUGGCGCCUCGGGAGGGGCCUGCGGCCCAUCAGGUAGUUGGUA
rnacentral:rRNA from 1 species